rnacentral:rRNA from 1 species
UGGGGAAUAUUGGACAAUGGACGAAAGUCUGAUCCAGCGACGCCGCGUGAGUGAUGAAGGCCUUCGGGUUGUAAAGCUCUGUCAGGAGGGAAGAAUCAGCAGCUGGAACAAUACCCGGUUGCCGUGACGGUACCUCCGAAGGAAGCACCGGCUAACUCCGUGCCAGCAGCCGCGGUAAUACGGAGGGUGCAAGCGUUGCUCGGAAUUACUGGGCGUAAAGCGUGUGUAGGCGGCCCUGCAAGUUGGGUGUGAAAGCCCAAGGCUUAACUUUGGAACUGCGCCCAAAACUGCGGGGCUUGAGUGCCGGAGAGGGUGGUAGAAUUCCCAGUGUAGAGGUGAAAUUCGUAGAUAUUGGGAGGAACACCAGUGGCGAAGGCGGCCACCUGGACGGACACUGACGCUGAGACACGAAAGCGUGGGGAGCAAACAGG